UCGGGUUGCACACGGGCAUGAUCAAUACGGCGCCGUUUUGGGGCCACUGAAACAGGCCCCAAACGACGUCGUUUAGCGACCUAUAUAUGCCCAAAUUUGGAACCCUAAAACACUAUCCUCUGCCAUUCCUCAAGUGCGCCGCAACCCUCCUCCUUCACUGCCACUCUGCAUCUCUCUCAUUCUGACGACGGAAUGAAGAGAUCCCCCAACGCCACUCGCGACGGUGGAGGAGAACGUGGGAACGAGCCUUAUGGAGACUGCCGAACGUGCGAGCAAUGACGUGGCUCGAUGAACGGUUUGCUAAGCGUGGGUGGUUGCGGCGCCGAAACCAUCAACCUCCUAGGUCUGUUUAAUGCUUAGGUUAAUUGGGUUAGGCUAAAAUGGGAUAUUGGGCCCUAGUUAGGUCUGUUUUAAAUGGGCCGGGUAAAAUUCUUUUAUUACACUUCUGAUAAAGCAUCCUGCUUUGAUUUUAUCUUAAAAACCCAUAAACACGAAACGUAAUUCAAUUUUGAAUAAAUUAUAAUUAUUUUAAUUAGGAAA